UUCAGUUGUCUGUCUCUGUGCAAAGUCAGCAUAAAUCCGUCCCUGAAAUCCCUGGAGUUUCAGGGUAUACAGAUUUCUCUGCUGAUUGCAAGAACAGAUUUUUGGUUGAAUGAAGGAGAAUAGUCUCAAGAAGUCUCCCACAAUAUUGCCAGGUUUAAAGUCUGACAAAAAACUUGAUCUACUCCAGUAAGUAAGUACCAGCAGUUAGAGGAAAAGAUGAUAUGUAGGAAAUGAGCUGCUAAAAUCAGAUUGUCAAACAGGUGAAAUGAGUAAGGAGACCUCAGAAUGCUAAGGAUCCUGCUGAAUUUGACUGUAGCAUGGCAGGAUGAUUGGAAGAGCACUGUAUGCAUGCUUCACUUGCUGGAUAAUAUUUGAGCCUGCUCCAAUUACAGGAAUUGUAUGACCUGAGGAGUGCAACUCAGCUGCAAGGGUGUAGUGGAAUACAGCAGAACUUUUAUAUUGUGGAUGUAGGUAUUUUAUUUUAUUUUAUUUUCCUGAUCAGAUUUUUACUAGUAAGCUGACAACAAUGCUAAUUUUUCCUUCUGUACUCUGUUGCCUGUCUAUGAUUCAGUUCUUGAGGGACAACAGCUA